AUUGAACGCUGGCGGCAGGCCUAACACAUGCAAGUCGAGUGAGCGGCGGACGGGUGAGUAAUGUAUGGGGACUGCCCGAUAGAGGGGGAUAACUACUGGAAACGGUAGCUAAUACCGCAUACUAUCGGAUAACCCAUAUGGGAUUAGCUAGUAGGUGAGGUAAUGGCUCACCUAGGCGACGAUACCUAGCUGGUCUGAGAGGAUGAGCAGCCACACGGUGAGUGAGACACGGCCCAGCUGCCUACGGAGGCAGCAGUUGGGAAUAUUGCACAAUGGGCGCAAGCCUGAAGCAGCCAUGCCGCGUGUAUGAAGAAGGCCCUAGGGUUGUAAAGUACUUUCAGUCGUGAUGCGUUACCGACAGAGGAAGCACCGGCUAACUCCGUGCCAGCCGCCGCGGUAAUAC
rnacentral:rRNA from 1 species